AUGGUCACUCCUGCUGGAUGUCUAGAAGGUGGAAACUAAGGACCUAGGAAAAUGCCAGAUACAGCCUUUCCACCCUCAUCCAGAGCAGGACAAACAGGCCCGGUGGUGUCAGGAGCCCAGGUCUCCAGCUGGAGGGAACGUCAACCCUGCAGUGGGAGCAGGGGCCCAUCGCACAUCCUAGGCACAGAUGCUAAUGCAGGCACUGCAGGUAAGCUGGGCUUGGUAUCCUUCCCUGGCUUCAGAAAGAAGCCAACAAGGAGCGUUUUGCAGAAUGAAACCUUUGUUUCCAGAAGCACUGCUGACUGUAAGUGGUUGCCGUUUGUGGCAGUGAGCAUUUUGUCCA
rnacentral:lncRNA from 1 species